rnacentral:rRNA from 1 species
UACGAAGGGUGCAAACGUUGCUCGGAAUUACUGGGCGUAAAGCGUGCGCAGGCGGCUUUGCAAGACAGAUGUGAAAUCCCCGGGCUUAACCUGGGAACUGCAUUUGUGACUGCAUGGCUGGAGUGCGGCAGAGGGGGAUGGAAUUCCGCGUGUAGCAGUGAAAUGCGUAGAUAUGCGGAGGAACACCGAUGGCGAAGGCAAUCCCCUGGGCCUGCACUGACGCUCAUGCACGAAAGCGUGGGGAGCAAACAGG